UGUGCCUUUCCCAUGAAAUGCAUUGUAGCUAUCUCCACCCACUGGACAACUGAAAUCUGAUAUAUUUUAAAAUAUUGCUCACUCUUACUGCUCCAUUCUCUAGGUUCUUCACCAUUGAAAGUAGGAAACUCCAAUUUUGGAUAAGGCAAGUGAAUGGUGUCCUAUUUUUAAUAUCACCUAUCCUAUCCAAUUGAUGAUACGGUGUGGGUAGUAUUUCUUUACCUCUAUCCUCAGCUGCCACGGCUGAUGAGCUAAAGCCAGGUGGCUCUGAGUUGUUUGUUCUUCAAUUUCUUAUGACUGAUGGGUUAUUAUUUGCAGUGAAUGAAGGAGUGGGCUGAGAAA
rnacentral:lncRNA from 1 species